UAGGAGGCUAGCUCACCUGGCUCACUCUGAACAAACACACCUGGCUGGCCACAUGGUGCAGGCCUCAUCCUUUCAAUCCUGGACUCUGUACAUGACCAAUAUUGUCCGCUUGUGUUCUCGAUAAGAGUGUUCCUCCUGUUACGACUCCUGUUGGCUGUUUCUGGAUGCUCACCUGGCUGCCUUUCAAUUCACGUCGGUCUCCUCCGCCCCGUGGUCCCCAUAAAAGUGAUGGGCAGUGAAGACCCUGCACUACCAAGUAAAUUCCUCUCUGCAUCUCCUGCUGUAAUUCCCAUUACUGCCUUGGACUCCAGAAGCUCACAUCCCCCCCAAAAAAACCUGUUCAUUCUUUCCCUUCUCCUCCUCCUCCUCCUCCUCCUGCACCUCCUCU